AAGUUUGGGAGAAAUUGAGUUUUUAAGCAAUAAAUCUUUAAUUCAUAACAAAGAUGAAAGGAUAAACUUAAGCAAUAAUUGAUGCAAGCUAUACUUUAUUGUAGUCUUGAACAUGGGUAGGCAUUAUAUUCGUGAUUAUUUUUGCCCGAGCGAUAGUGAGCGGUGGUCGUAUCUAUGUCAAAUAUGUCAAUUUCCAAUUGCAACACAUUACAGAUAUAAAAAUAAAUUGGUAACAACAUAUGCAUCAUUUUAGAGUUUGGAAUUGUUUUAAGUUAAUGAAAGAUAUUAAAUGCAGGCCAAUUUGUUGAUGUAAAGUAGUCAAUAUACUGCAUAGUACAAGACAGAAUUGUAUAAGAAUACAACAAUCAAACAAAACACCAGAACACUAGAAAUACAAACAUUAAGAAAUCAUCUUAUGGUUUUCAAAACUUAAAGUUUCUAAUCUGUUAUUUUGUCAAAGGUAGAUAGAUGCCUAAUUGGCAAUCGUAUAACAAUUCCUUAUUUCCAUGUUUUGUAUACAUUAUUGUCGAGCCUCGACAUGGGGAUAGAGAUCCGGCAGGCACGUUAACUAACUUUAAAGCUUUAUAUUUUAGAAGCUGGAUGAACGGGAUGCUUAAAGGAGGGGCGAAAGAUACCAGAGGGAAGGACAAACUCAUAUGAUUGAAAAAAAAACUGACAACGC
rnacentral:lncRNA from 1 species